CGUUAAACUGGAAAAGCAAACUACUAUACGCAUAAUACAAAAGACAAUUUAUCAUCUUUAAAACUAUAAGGCAUAUGAUAUAUGAGAUAGGCAGCACAAGGACAUAUCGGCAAGCCUUAGGUUGGUGUUUACGCGUGUAGGUGUGAAUCGCUAUGGUGAUCUGGUCGGAGAUAGAAAAAAUAUAAAAUAUUUAUUACAUAACAACACUUAAUCUGAUGAUUUCCUAUGCAUUCAAUACCAAGUUCAAUACAUCUGAUUGUAAUAAGCAUAUUGGCCAUACUCUUCAUAUACAUGAAAAUCGUAUCAAUCGUGUAUCACAUAGCACAUUUAAGAGGACUGAUCCUAUAAAGGCAUUUAUUUUUGUUUUCUAUUUAUAACCUCGUUAACUCAUUUAUU